CCAACAAACAUGACUUUCAGCAUCAUCUUUGUCUGGACUUUGGCAGUGUUUUGCCAAGAAUCCAUUGGGCAGGUGACAGUGACUCAAACUCCAUCACAGCUGCUCACUCAAACAGGACAAGAAGUCAAAAUAAAAUGUACAACUAGCAGCAAUGUCUGUUGCUGUAGUAGUGGGAGUGGAUGCCUUAGCUGGUAUCUACAAAAACCUGGAGAAACUCCUAAACUCCUUAUUUAUGGAGGGAAUCAACGACAGUCAGGAACUCCAUCUAGAUUCAGUGGCAGUGGAUCUAACAGUGAUUUCACUCUGACCAUCAGUGGAGUCCAGACUGAAGAUACAGGAGAUUAUUACUGUCUGAGUUACCACUGUUCUGGUAGUUAUAUGUUCACACAGUGA